GAUGAACGCUAGCGGCAGGCCUAACACAUGCAAGUCGAGGGGUAGCAGGAUUAAGCUUGCUUAAUUGCUGACGACCGGCGCACGGGUGCGUAACGCGUAUGCAACCUACCUUAUACUGGGGUAUAGCCCGGAGAAAUUCGGAUUAAUCCCCCAUAGUACUAAUGAAUCGCAUGGUUUAUUAGUUAAAGCAUUGCGGUAUAAGAUGGGCAUGCGUCCUAUUAGCUAGAUGGUGAGGUAACGGCUCACCAUGGCUACGAUAGGUAGGGGGCCUGAGAUGGUGGUCCCCCACACUGGGACUGAGACACGGACCAGACUCCUACGGGAGGCAGCAGUGAGGAAUAUUGGUCAAUGGGCGCAAGCCUGAACCAGCCAUGCCGCGUGCAGGAAGAAUGCCCUAUGGGUUGUAAACUGCUUUUAUUUGGGAAUAAACCUCUUUACGUGUAGAGAGCUGAAGGUACCAAAUGAAUAAGCACCGGCUAACUCCGUGCCAGCAGCCGCAGUAA
rnacentral:rRNA from 1 species